AUUGAACGCUGGCGGCAUGCUUUACACAUGCAAGUCGAACGGCAGCACGGGGGCAACCCUGGUGGCGAGUGGCGAACGGGUGAGUAAUGCAUCGGAACGUACCCAGUCGUGGGGGAUAACGCAGCGAAAGUUGUGCUAAUACCGCAUACGACCUGAGGGUGAAAGCGGGGGACCGUAAGGCCUCGCGCGAUUGGAGCGGCCGAUGUCUGAUUAGCUAGUUGGUGGGGUAAAGGCCCACCAAGGCGACGAUCAGUAGCGGGUCUGAGAGGAUGAUCCGCCACACUGGGACUGAGACACGGCCCAGACUCCUACGGGAGGCAGCAGUGGGGAAUUUUGGACAAUAGGCGGAAAGACCUGAUGGAGACAACGACCGCGUGCAGGAUGAAUAGCC
rnacentral:rRNA from 1 species